GUGAUUACUGCGGUCUAUUAAUUGUUGAGAACUUCGGCCAAUUGUCCAAGCACCACUUACACCAGCACCAGCAACAGCUAAUAUGCAAUGAUAAUAUAAAGUGUAACAUGAAACAGUGUCAUGGUUUUAUGUCAAGAAGGAGAGAAAGUGUCACUAGUUCAUCAUUCAGUCAAAUGAACGAUAUCAAGAGGUAAUUUACCUGAUGCAAUAACAACUGGCGCAAGAGGUGUGAACAUUGAUGCGACACUCAAACCAAGUGAGCAAAUUCCGACGACACUAGAAGUGAUAUCCAUUCCAUUAUAAAGCUUU